rnacentral:lncRNA from 1 species
GAGACCAGCCUGGCCAACAUGGUGAGACUCUGUCUCUACUAAAAAUACAAAAAUUAGCCAGGAGUGGUGGCUCGCGCCUAUAAUCCCAGCUACUCGGGAGGCUGAGGCAGGAGAAUCGCUUGAACCUGGGAGGCGGAGGUUGCAGUGAGCAGAGAUCCAGCCACUGCAUUCCAGCCUGGGGACAGAGUGGGACUCUGUCUCUAAAAAAAAAAAAAAAAAAAAAGAAAGAAAGGAAACCCGCUUUCAUUCAUCUCAUAACAGUCAACCAGUUUCUGGGCAGCCUUUGAGGACUUGUGAUUCGCUCCCUGAGUUGGGCACAUUUCAGGCCCAUGAUUUUAAAAAACAUUGAAAUUGGCUUGUGGACAUCCGCCCCCCACCCCCACUGCAUGGUACUGGAGCCACGACAGAGUCCAGGUCCCCCUUUUUACAGAUGGGUACACUGAGGCUCAGAGCAGGGUGUAACUUACCCAGAGCUGCACAGCUUGUCUUUGAUGGCCAAGGUUAGAGCUCAGUCUCUCACAGCUCCUUCCUGCUUUCUAUCUCUGCCUCGGUCUCUCUCUCUUUUGUCUACUGUCCGUUCUGUCUCUGCCUGUUUUUGUUUUGGUCUCUGCAUCUCUGAUUCUUUUUCUCCCAUAUAAUCUUACUCUCAUUCACUUAAACCAU